rnacentral:rRNA from 1 species
GUCCUAGCCCUAAACGAUCAGGACUUGGGGUGCCACCCGUUCGGGUGUCGUCCCGGAGCUAACGCGUUAAGUCCUGCACCUGGGGGAGUACGGUCGCAAGACUGAAACUCAAAGGAAUUGACGGGGCCGGCACAAGCGGUGGAACAUGUGGUUCAAUUCGACGCUACGCGAGGAACCUUACCUGGGCUCGAAGCGCACCUGACCAGCUGUAGAAAUACGGCCUUCCCGCAAGGGACAGGUGUGGAGGCGCUGCAUGGCUGUCGU